GAACAACAGCGGGCUGUUUAUCCAAACAAGCGAAAGCAUCUGUAGCGGAGUUAAUGAUUUUGCAGCACCCCCGGUUACCCACCGGCUGCGGGGCUGGGAGCUGAGCUGGGGCUGGAGAGGAAAGCAGAGGCUUCAGGGACUUUCCUCAAACCUGUGAUUUCCGGAAGCGGAGUCCCUUCUACUCCUGCAGCGCUUUCUGGUUCCUGAAACCAGAUGGUUCUGAUGGUUCUGCACAGGACACCCCAAAACACAGGACCCCCCUCCAGUGCUGGGGCGAGGGCUGGCACGGCCAGGGGUUCCCCUGGGCUCCCAUCAGCACCCAGGCUGUGUGGGGUGCUGGCAUCUUUUGGAAGGAGGUGGGGAAAGUGAGUCAUUUGCAAACUAAGUGAGCAUCCUUAAUUGCAUCCAGCGCAGCUGACCUCGGUGGGCAAUGCAGAGGUGCAGACAAAGAUAGAAUUUAGCCAUUAAAAUGAAGUAAAGGC